UUAGUGUCCUACCUUUGAAUGAACUUUGCACACAUUUUUUCUUAUAAACUACCUUUUAGUGGAUUUUAAGUGUUACCGGGCCUAGUGUGCUAAAUGCUUAAAUUCUUUGAUUCUGUGUUUAGUGCCUCCAGAUAACAACAUGUAUUUAUAAUGCAAUUUUAAGUGGUUUUGUUUUUUCCAGGAUGUCCAAUUAGUAUCAAUCAUGUUUCCAGGUGGUCAAGUUGGGAAGCUUUACAGAAAUUCAGAAGACAAUCCUGAUAUUGUAUUUGUGUUAGCACAAGUGAAAUUUCUUUUGUAACAAAUUCUUAGCUGCAAUUAUCAGGGGAUCAGCUUAUCAAAGUGAACACAAACAACCUGGCUCUUUUUUUUUUUUUUUUUAAUCUUUCUCAUUAGCAAGCUAAAGAAUGUAAUUAUGCAUCUUUGUUCCACAAAUGAAUGAAAAUAGUAUGAAUCAUAUUAUAAUUAUAUUUACUC